rnacentral:pre_miRNA from 1 species
UCUUAUGGAUGAGCAAAGAAAGUAGUUUCUUGAGAUGGAAUCUGUUCUUGUUGAAGAUUGUUGAAAU